rnacentral:rRNA from 1 species
GUCCACGCCGUAAACGAUGGACGCUCGGUGUCUGGGGGCUAUAAACGUCCCUGGGCGCCUCAGCUAACGCGCAAGCGUCCCGCCUGGGAACUACGAGCGCAAGCUUAAAACUCAAAGGAAUUGACGGGGGCCCGCACAAGCAGCGGAGCGUGUGGUUUAAUUCGACGCAACGCGCAGAACCUUACCCAGACUUGACAUGCAGCUGCAAGCUGGUGAAAGCCAGUCGCCUUCGAGGGUGCUGCACCGGUGCUGCAUGGCUGUCGU